rnacentral:rRNA from 1 species
UACGAAGGGGGCUAGCGUUGCUCGGAAUUACUGGGCGUAAAGCGCACGUAGGCGGCUUCUUAAGUCGGUGGUGAAAUCCUGGAGCUCAACUCCAGAACUGCCUUCGAUACUGGGAAGCUCGAGUCCGGGAGAGGUGAGUGGAACUGCGAGUGUAGAGGUGAAAUUCGUAGAUAUUCGCAAGAACACCAGUGGCGAAGGCGGCCCGCUGGGCAGUGGCUGACGCUGAGGCGCGACAGCGUGGGGAGCAAACAGG